rnacentral:rRNA from 1 species
CUUGGGGGAAUGUAUAGCUCCGGCUAACUAUAUUUAGUUUUUUAUUAUAGUAAUAAAAAGUGUAAAUAUUUUAUAUAUUGAAAAAAUAUAGUAUCGAUUUUGUCGAAUAAAGUUCUAGAUAGAAUACUGAUCAUGACUAUUUUCUAUCUAUAUGUCUUGACCAAAUUACGUGCCAGCAGUCGCGGUAAUACGUAGAAGACUAGUGUUAUUCAUCUUUAAUAGGUUUAAAGGGUACCUAGACGGUAAAAUUAGUCUAAAAUAUGAUACGGUUUUACUAGAGUUAUAUAUGAGGAGGUGAGUAUUUAAGGAGUAGAGUUGAAAUUCAGUCAUACCUUAAGGACUGGUAAUGGCGAAAGCAACCUUUUAUCUAAUAACUGACGUUGAGGGACGAAGGCUCGGGUAGCGAACAGGAUUAGAUACCCUGGUAGUCCAAGCAGAAAAUUAUGAAUGCCAUAGAUUAGAAUAUUUUUAGUUUAUAAAUGAAAGUGCAAGCAUUCCACCUCAAGAGUAAUGUGGCAACGCAGGAACUGAAACCAUUAGACCGUUUCUGAAACCAGUAGUGAAGUAUGUUAUUUAAUUCGUCGUUACGCGAAAAACCUUACCACAAUUUGUAUAGUAUCCCUGAAAAGAUAUUACAAGCGUUGCACGGUUGUCUUCAGUUAAUGUCGUGAGAUAUUGGUUAAUUCCAUUAAAUUAACGGAAACCCUUGCUUUAUUUGCAAAAUUUAUAAAUAAAGCAGUUCACCAGUAUAUCGGAAAUGAUAACAGGGACCAAGACAAAUCAUCAUGGCCUGCCGAGCGAUGUCGGAGAUCGCUCAAGUGUGGGU